UGGGGGAUAUUGCACAAUGGGGGAAACCCUGAUGCAGCAAUGCCGCGUGAGGGAAGACGGUCUUCGGAUUGUAAACCUAAGUAGACAGGGACGAACAAAUGACGGUACCUGUAAAGUAAGCUCCGGCUAACUACGUGCCAGCAGCCGCGGUAAUACGUAGGGAGCGAGCGUUGUCCGGAUUUACUGGGUGUAAAGGGUGCGUAGGCGGGUCUGCAAGUCAGGCGUGAAAUACCGGGGCUUAACUCCGGGGCUGCGCUUGAAACUGUAGAUCUUGAGUGAAGUAGAGGCAAGCGGAAUUCCUAGUGUAGCGGUGAAAUGCGUAGAUAUUAGGAGGAACACCAGUGGCGAAGGCGGCUUGCUGGGCUUUAACUGACGCUGAAGCACGAAAGCAUGGGGAGCAAACAGG
rnacentral:rRNA from 2 species